rnacentral:rRNA from 1 species
AUUGAACGCUGGCGGCAGGCCCAACACAUGCAAGUCGAGCGGAUGAAGGGAGCUUGCUCCUGGAUUCAGCGGCGGACGGGUGAGUAAUGCCUAGGAAUCUGCCUGGUAGUGGGGGAUAACGUCCGGAAACGGGCGCUAAUACCGCAUACGUCCUGAGGGAGAAAGUGGGGGAUCUUCGGACCUCACGCUAUCAGAUGAGCCUAGGCCGGAUUAGCUAGUUGGUGGGGUAAAGGCCUACCAAGGCGACGAUCCGUAACUGGUCUGAGAGGAUGAUCAGUCACACUGGAACUGAGACACGGUCCAGACUCCUACGGGAGGCAGCAGUGGGGAAUAUUGGACAAUGGGCGAAAGCCUGAUCCAGCCAUGCCGCGUGAGUGAAGAAGGUCUUCGGAUUGUAAAGCACUUUAAGUUGGGAGGAAGGGCAGUAAGUUAAUACCUUGCUGUUUUGACGUUACCAACAGAAUAAGCACCGGCUAACUUCGUG